rnacentral:rRNA from 1 species
CUACGGGGGGCAGCCUUCUAGAGUCUUUCCAAUGGGGGCAACCCUGAUGGAUCAACGCCACGCGGAAAAUAAGGCCUUCCGAUUGUAGUUUCCUGUCAUGUGUGAACAAUGUUACGGUGCUAAUACCUUUGCAAUUUGAUGUCCAGCCCUCAGGAAGAGACGGCUAACUCUGUGCCAGCAGCCGCGGCCCUACACAUUUCUCAAGCGUUGUUCGGAAUCACUGGGCGUAAAGGGUGCGUAGGUGGCGUGGAAACGCUAUGUGAAAGCCCGGGGCUCAACCUCGGAAUUGCAUCCUAUACUGCCAUGUUCCAGUACGGACCAGGUGACCAAAAUUCUAGGUGUAGCAGUGAAAUGCGUCCAUUUCAACAGAAAUACACAACGCGAAGGCCGGCCACUGUCAAGCUACUGACAUUGAGGCAGGAAUGCCACGUUAGCCAACGGGAUUAGAUGCCGCAGUAGUCC